rnacentral:lncRNA from 1 species
CCAAACCACGCUUUCCCACACCCCUGGGGCCGAGAUGUCAUUCCAGCGCCAGCUUCCUGGACCCGGUUAUUCCCAGCCUUUAACUCCGCCUCCAAGCUUCCCCUACGUCAUAUCAGCGACCACAGUCUCCCCUCUUAUCCCUUUAGCUCCUCAGUUCGAGUUUCCCGACGCGGCCCCCACCCUUAACCCCUAGCCUCCAGGGAUCCCAGACAUCCUCCCGGCUCCCUAGAGCCCUCCCCUGUUCUCAGCCCCGUUAGACCCUCCCCUCAGAGCAGAACGCGUUUGCGCUCUAUGUCCCUCCGCAGCCCCUCCACCGUCCUCUCUGCCCCCAAAGGUACCUCCCCACCUCCACUUUAGUCUCACCCCUAAGUACCCCGAAGAAAGCCAAUAUUUCCUUCUCUCCGCAGCGUCCCAGAUAUUAACCGUUCUAUCUCAAUGGUUUUCAGAUUUUAUCUUGCCUCUUGGGUACCCUUUGGGACCCUUAUGUCAUCCCCACCAUCAGGGCACCCAGACUUAACCCUAACUGCAAGUCCCAGACUCACUCUGGUCCUUAUUGAUGAGCCAGGUGUCCCUGGAGUCAAGUGGCUCACUGUCACCGAUUUCAUUCCGAGCCACCACUCUGAAGUAGUACUUCCUGCCUGGGAGCAGCCCCGUCACUGUGUACUUGUUGCUGAAGACACGCUCGGCUGCCGUGUACCAGGUGGCUGUGCUUGCAUCCCGCUUCAUGAUGAUGUAGUGAGCCUCACCGUCCUCCUGCACAUCUGGGCUGUGGUUCCAGCCAUCUGCCAAGUCCGAUGGAAGAUAAGAUGGGGCAAGUCUCAGGCAGCUGGUGUCUUGGAGUCGGAAAACUAUUUCUGAAGUCUGCUCUGCCAUUUACUAGCCUCGUGACCUGGGGCCAUACAGACAUCUAGCUGCCCUGCAACCCUGUGAAGCAUUUAUUUGUUUUCUCAUCUGUCUCCUUCUACUAGUACGCAAGACCCUGGAAGGCAAGUCCUUG